rnacentral:rRNA from 1 species
CCGUAUAGGGGAGCCGCAGGGAAACCGAGUCUUAACUGGGCGUUAAGUUGCAGGGUAUAGACCCGAAACCCGGUGAUCUAGCCAUGGGCAGGUUGAAGGUUGGGUAACACUAACUGGAGGACCGAACCGACUAAUGUUGAAAAAUUAGCGGAUGACUUGUGGCUGGGGGUGAAAGGCCAAUCAAACCGGGAGAUAGCUGGUUCUCCCCGAAAGCUAUUUAGGUAGCGCCUCGUGAACUCAUCUUCGGGGGUAGAGCACUGUUUCGGCUAGGGGGUCAUCCCGACUUACCAACCCGAUGCAAACUACGAAUACCGAAGAAUGUUAUCACGGGAGACACACGGCGGGUGCUAACGUCCGUCGUGAAGAGGGAAACAACCCAGACCGCCAGCUAAGGUCCCAAAGUCAUGGUUAAGUGGGAAACGAUGUGGGAAGGCACAGACAGCCAGGAUGUUGGCUUAGAAGCAGCCAUCAUUUAAAGAAAGCGUAAUAGCUCACUGGUCGAGUCGGCCUGCGCGGAAGAUGUAACGGGGCUAAACCAUGCACCGAAGCUGCGGCAGCGACACUAUGUGUUGUUGGGUAGGGGAGCGUUCUGUAAGCCUGCGAAGGUG